UACAGAGGUCUCAAGCGUUUGUUCGGAUUCAUUGGGCGUAAAGGGUGCGUAGGCGGCGCGGUAAGUCGGGUGUGAAAUCUCGGAGCUUAACUCCGAAACUGCAUUCGAUACUGCGGUGCUUGAGGACUGGAGAGGAGACUGGAAUUCAUGGUGUAGCAGUGAAAUGCGUAGAGAUCAUGAGGAAGACCAGUGGCGAAGGCGGGGUCUCUGGACAGUUCCUGACACUGAGGCACGAAGGCCAGGGGGAGCAAACGGGG
rnacentral:rRNA from 1 species